AGUGAACGCUGGCGGUAGGCCUAACACAUGCAAGUCGAACGGCAGCACAGUAAGAGCUUGCUCUUACGGGUGGCGAGUGGCGGACGGGUGAGGAAUACAUCGGAAUCUACUUUUUCGUGGGGGAUAACGUAGGGAAACUUACGCUAAUACCGCAUACGACCUACGGGUGAAAGCAGGGGAUCUUCGGACCUUGCGCGAUUGAAUGAGCCGAUGUCGGGUUAGCUAGUUGGCGGGGUAAAGGCCCACCAAGGCAACGAUCCGUAGCUGGUCUGAGAGGAUGAUCAGCCACACUGGAACUGAGACACGGUCCAGACUCCUACGGGAGGCAGCAGUGGGGAAUAUUGGACAAUGGGCGCAAGCCUGAUCCAGCCAUACCGCGUGGGUGAAGAAGGCCUUCGGGUUGUAAAGCCCUUUUGUUGGGAAAGAAAAGCAGCAGGUUAAUACCCCGCUGUUCUGACGGUACCCAAAGAAUAAGCACCGGCUAACUUCGUG
rnacentral:rRNA from 1 species